GAGUGUUAUAGCUCUUUUAGAAUUUGUCUAGUAGGCUUUCUGGUUUUUACGAGAAAGUCCUU
ensembl:snRNA U7 U7 small nuclear RNA